rnacentral:tRNA from 1 species
UGGCUCAGUUGGUAGAGCAUGGUGUUUGCAACGCCAAGGUUGUGGGUUCAAUUCCCAC